UCCGAUGUGGUGUAGUGGCUAACAUUGCUGUCUUUCAUAAGUUCUGCUCUGUUCAGGAAUAAUACACAGCAGCCCGCGGUUCGAUUCCCCGCAUCGGAA